rnacentral:tRNA from 3 species
GGGUGGUUUCCCGAGUGGCCAAAGGGGACAGACUGUAAAUCUGCUGCUAAUUGCUUCGGUGGUUCGAAUCCACCACCACCCA